UCCUGGCUGGCUCAGUGGUAAAGCAUGUGACUCUUCAUCGCAGGGUGGUGAGUUCAAUCCCCACGUUGGGUG
rnacentral:tRNA from 1 species